rnacentral:tRNA from 1 species
GCCGGGGUGGCGAAAUUGGUAGACGCACAGGACUUAAAAUCCUGGGGGUCGAAAGACCCGUGCCGGUUCGAUUCCGGCCCUCGGCA